GAACAGGAGGUUGCUGCUCUCUCUCUCGCAAUGUUAUUUUCCCCUCCUCUCCCUGUAGUGAGUGCAUGGAGAGAUAUUUUUACUAUGGAAGAGGUGCAGAUCAGUGCAAAACAGAACAAGGGGAAGAAAAUAAGAAGAAGAGGGGGAAAAAAACAAGAGAGACUUCAUCCCUUCAUCUCCUUCUACCUCUCGCUGAUACCCUCCUCUGCCAAGGACUUUCACCUCAGAAGAAGCGGAGAGACCAACUUCAAAAGGCAGCCAAGAAGGAGCUGGAGUGUGAAAUCUGAGAAGAGGAGCAAGAUGAGAGGCUGACCGGCGCUGUGUUUGCUAUUCUGUCCAGGUAAUUAUUUUGGCGACCAGCAGACCUCCCCAGAGCCACCCUGCCAACCCAAUAUCUGCACCGCUCUCAGGGGGCCAUCUGUGCUCAGCUACCACAGAUAAGUGAGAGGAAUGUGUUGCAGCCAUGCUGUGAUGUGAGGGAUUCGGCCUGGAACUUACAUCCUGAAGGCUGGGACUGCACCCGGACUUUGAACAUAAUGGCCGAAUGGAGGGUGAAGACGUUAGGAGGGCGUGGCAGACAGCAGGAGAGUCUGCAUCCAGGUUGUAGGAGCGGCCAGAAAACCGAUUGGAAACUCCUACUACGGAUGAAACCUGGCCGUGAUUUGUCUUUCAGGCCACUGUAAUGGUCUCCAUCUGGUCUGUAUGGGGGGAAAGAAAGGUAUUGAGUCCUUGGGCUGUAUAGGACGACCAUCUGGGUCCGGCCACUCCCAAAGCUCUGAGGCCAAUUCUCGGUUGUCCCAACCGACCAGCAGACAGGCCCAGUGGCCUUCAACACGCCGUGACCCCGAGUCAGUUGCAAUAACAACAAUAGGUCCUGGCCCACUAACCAUUAAGCCAUCAGCUAUCAUGGAAGACCGUGGAGAUGAAGGCCUUUGAGGGAAAACAUAAAAGGAAGCGUGCUAGGAGAACAACGGGCAACGGGGGCAUCCUGGAUCCGAAGGGGAGGGUCAAGUUGGACUUAAAGACGGGCUGGAAAUCCCCCAAUGAAUCAACAUUUAACACUUUCCUGCCAAGACAAAUCAAAGCUGUAAAUGCUUUUUGGGGGGAUGUUUGAAGGACAGGCUUAAGCAUGCUGGGUGCGGUAACAUUUUGGACAAUUUUCAGCUUCAACGGCCUUGGUAUCAGAAAGCUGUGCAGAUGUGGUGAUCCUUUAUUGUGUGUCUGCACAGAGAUUUGAUUUCAAAUUGGUUUCUUAUUCUUUUUUCUUCUGAGUUUGCAGGUUUUUGGCAAGACCUAUACUGUAUUCUUUUUGAUGAUGAUGAACAUAUCAUGCAGCAGCUGGAUCACCAACCCGUCUCAAUCAGUUUGAGACUGCCUCUAACUUCUUCAAGAUGUUAAAAUGUAUGCAUACCUGCAGGGUGUAUAAAUCACUGUGAACAUUUACAUGACAAUGUGAAAAUAGCAUUUCAAAAACUUUCAGUGUUUUGACUGAAUUAUUGUUUGCAGCUGCAACAUGCUUGAAAACAUAGAUUGGCUGAUUGACAAACAUUUUUUUGAUUGAUUAAUUACUUUUCCUGGUUUUAUGGUACUUUUUUAAAUACAUGGUAGUAAACUGUGUGUUUUGGAUGGAUUGUCAAAUGGAACAAGACAUUUAAAGUUGUCACACUGGAAAUGAUAAAAACCAUUAAUUUAUUUUCUGACAAAUGAUUGACUAAAAUAUUGAUCUGGGUUAUAAUCACUGGGGUAAUCGCUAACAAAAUGUGUUGUUUGCAGUGCUACUUUGGUUAGCUUUACAUUUGACAAUAUUAAGUAAUGGGACAAAUGCAACAUAAUAGUAUUUACCUUAAAACUUCAGAAAUUGAAAGUAAUUUGUUGUUGAUUGUAAUGACUUGUGAUUUCUUUAAACAAUCCUUUCUCAUUUGUUACUGUGUUUCAGCUUCCAUUCAUUUUUUUACAUUGUCCUGUCAAGCUCAAAUAAAUGUCCAUUCAUUGUUUUUAUUGUGUAUUGUCAUCCUGUGAUCAUGAUGCCUUGUUCAGCUUAUAAAUGCUAAAUUGUAUUUGUUUUCUUCAUCAGUGGAAUUAAAUGAUCCUAUGCAUAUUUUAUUUCGAUGUUAAACUUUACAGCAUCCUACCUACUUAAUAAGAUACCCUUCACAUGUAUGUUUACUAUGCCUGAUUAUUUAUCUACACAUUAAGGUAUAAGGCACAUCACAAAUGAUAUAAAAUAAAUACAUAUUUUAUUGUGUGAAAAGAGAUCAUGACCAGAGCUGAAGAGGAUUUAAUCUAUCAGACUCAAUCUAUUUAAAGAAGAAUAGGAAAUGAAUGCUAUACAUUUAUCGUGUUAAGAUCAUGUAGUGCAGUUUUUGUGAUUUAUAAAUGACUGUACAGGACUUGGAGGGUUUUUAUUCCACAUUAUUUCCCUUUCCUAUAGGCAUAUAUCCUAUGUUUUCCCUUUCAAUAAAUAGUUGUAUUAUGUGAGAGGAGUACAAUAAGCCCAGUGUUCUCGUCAGAAGUCAGCUAUUGAAAUAGAAACGUCUUACAGUUGUGUCUAAAUAAAUGUAAUUUCACAUGAGUUUCAACUCAUUCAACUGUCAUGUUUAUUAAUAGAAGCUCUCAAUGAGUUUUCAGACUCUUCUAAACAGAUUUAUCAUCUGACAUGUUUCAUAUUUUGUCUUUGGAGUUAUUUUGAAUACUUAAGACCUUCCACAAGACGAUUCUUUGGCAUGAUUUUUUUGUUUUGUUUUGCAGAGCUGCCGAGACAUAUUGCAAGAUCUGACCAUAAAGACAUCAGACAGUUAAUGGACCAAAAAACAGAAUAGUUGACAAGGAGUAGUCAGUAUGCUUACAGGGAUGACUCCAUGAGCACUGAAAUGUGGUGCAUGCAUUUGUGAGUAAAUAAUGUUACAAUACCACCGCGGUACAUUAUUAGUAAUGUCUGUCAAGGUAAAUAUUUAAUAUGUAAUACUAUUAUUAUUUGAAGUAUUCAGAUAUUCAUAACUAUUAUCUGUCAACAAAACCCACCAUUAGAUUGAAUCGCUUCUCAUGUGUUUAUUCAUUUCCUCAACCAGAUAAUACAUGCAAAAAUCAAUACAUACUGUACAUACUGUAUUUGCUGCACUUUGUACAACAGCUGCUAAACAGUUUUGUCUUUCUUUCUCUUACAGCCUUUGCCACCAGGUCAGAACAUGUUGCUACAUGAAAACCGAACUGAGGCAACCUUCUACUGCCCAUACACAUGCAUACUGAUACUAAGUUGAACUAUGUCUUGUAUUACAGAAUACUGUAUAUUUGAUGCUAAUAAAAUAUGUAUUAAAAUAC